rnacentral:rRNA from 1 species
UACGUAGGUGGCAAGCGUUAUCCGGAAUUAUUGGGCGUAAAGAGCGCGCAGGUGGUUAAUUAAGUCUGAUGUGAAAGCCCACGGCUUAACCGUGGAGGGUCAUUGGAAACUGGUUGACUUGAGUGCAGAAGAGGGAAGUGGAAUUCCAUGUGUAGCGGUGAAAUGCGUAGAGAUAUGAAGGAACACCAGUGGCGAAGGCGGCUUCCUGGUCUGCAACUGACACUGAGGCGCGAAAGCGUGGGGAGCAAACAGG